CCGACAAAACACACAGAUGUCGGAGGUGCGAGAUGACAUCGUUUAAUGCAACAUAUCCGCUGUGUAACGAAAAAUUGUGAGGUCCUAUGCAUGGGAUAGAUGUAAUAAUGAUACGAGGUACCCGGAAAGAAUACACAAGCUUUUAUGGGCCAUGAAAUACUGACUGUAUACAGCAAGGUCCAGUUCCCCCAGAUGGGUCACAGUCAUCAAGAAAGGCUUCUUUGGAAUUAUCGAGAAGAGUUGAUCAAUGAUGGAGCACACAGGGAAACAGAAAAGAAUCUUCACCCGUGUGUCAUAACAGAAUGUGAAAAUGAAUUGUCAACAGGCUACAUGAAUCUUUGGAUUAAUUUCCCCAUGUUGUAGAACUACAACAAAAACAGAGAGAACCUACAGAACAGACUAAGUAAUCGUCUACAACUCCACAUAGCAGCAUGAGAAAAACAAGGCCCACUUGCCAUGAAGA